rnacentral:tRNA from 1 species
GGGGCUAUAGCUCAGCUGGGAGAGCGCUUCAGCGGUUCGAUCCCGCUUAGCUCCACCA